rnacentral:rRNA from 1 species
AUUGAACGCUGGCGGCAGGCCUAACACAUGCAAGUCGAGCGGACCGGCGGACGGGUGAGUCAUGCCUAGGAAUCUGCCUGGUAGUGGGGGCUAACGUCCGGAAACGGGCGCUAAUACCGCAUACUAUCAGAUGAGCCUAGGUGGGAUUAGCUUGUUGGUGGGGUAAGGGCCUACCAAGGCGACGAUCCGGAACUGGUCUGGGAGGCUGAUCAGUCACACGGGAACUGGGACCGGGUCCAGACUCCUACGGGAGGCAGCAGUGGGGAAUAUUGGACAAUGGGCGAAAGCCUGAUCCAGCCAUGCCGCGUGUGUGAAGAAGGUCUUCGGAUUGUAAAGCACUUUAAGUUGGGAGGCGUUACCAACAGAAUAAGCACCGGCUAACUUCGUGCCAGCAGCCGCGGUAAUAC